GUAGGGAGCGAGCGUUGUCCGGAUUCAUUGGGCGUAAAGCGCGCGUAGGCGGCCGCGCAAGUCGGUUGUGAAAUCCCGGGGCUCAACCCCGGGACUGCGUCCGAUACUGCGUGGCUCGAGGCAGGUAGGGGAGAUCGGAAUUCCUGGUGUAGCGGUGAAAUGCGCAGAUAUCAGGAGGAACACCGGUGGCGAAGGCGGAUCUCUGGGCCUGUCCUGACGCUGAGGCGCGAAAGCUAGGGGAGCGAACAGGAUUAGAUACCCUGGUAGUCCUAGCCGUAAACGUUGGGCGCUAGGUGUGGGCGGAUAUCGACCCCGUCCGUGCCGAAGCUAACGCAUUAAGCGCCCCGCCUGGGGAGUACGGCCGCAAGGCUAAA
rnacentral:rRNA from 1 species